GUGUUUUACUAAAUAUGGGUGUAAGAUUUGAAGACAAAACCUGGACUAAAGCUAGCAACUUGUUAACCAUUAAGCUAAAGGGCGGUUAUGAUAGAAUGUCAAUGUGCUAAAAAAAUCUUAUAUCAGUUCGGUUAGGUUUUUUCAAUUUUUCUCUACAAAAGCCAAACCGACCAAUAUAACUGAAAAUUUUAUAAUUUAAAACCGAACCAAAUAAAAUAAAACUGAACCAAGAAAACCAAAAUCAAUCGGUUCGGUCUAUUUUUUAUGUUUGAACCAAAUUUUGCUCACCCCAAGCUAUUGCUAUGGUUGGAUUAAGUCUUUUUUCUUUUAAUGAGUUUGUUGAUAUUGAUAUGAGAUUGAAGAAGUAAUUUGAGUUGGACGAGGGACAGAGAGAGACGUGAAAUAAUAGAGAGAGGUAAGUAAGGAGGGAGGGAGAGAGAGGGGAAAGGGCAUUAUAGGAAUAAAAAGAUCUUAUCUCUCAUUUGACUUUCUCGACUAGGAGAAUAAAGCUAAGAAAUAUGGACAAAAUGAUUAUUUAAUUGAUAGAAUCAAACAUCAAGGAAGCAAUAAUGUAAUUUCCAAAAAUACAGGAACUAUUUCGUAAAUUAAUAAUGCCAAUACCCAAAAACUAAAUAAUAAUUCUCCUAAAAAUUGCGAGUAUAGCUGAUCAUGUGCAAUUCAACAAAAACAUGAUCAAUGAACUUAAAAUCUUCAUUACUAUGUUAUUUGAGGUUUAUCAUCAGUUGCUUCUUAUUGAUACAAACAAGAAUAGCAAUAUUACAAUUAUGGUCAAACUUAGAGGCGUCAACCUAUUACCGCCUAAAGAAUAUAAUCAGAUCUCGCUUGAAUUCACUCUAAAUCCAAGACAAUUCAAAACCAAAAUAACAUCAAAUUUUUAAGGUUGGACAAAUCAUAGGUGAUCCAUUCGAGCAAACCAAAAAAAAAUAAAAAUCCUUGAAAGUUUUCAAUAUUUGAAGCACUAGCCUACUAGACAUAAUAUUGACAACCAUACAAGUUCUCUCUCCUCUAUACCAUCUUUGAACAGUUAUUUUAUUUAAACAAAUAAUUCUUUACUUCAUAUAUAGCACAGAAAAUAUUCUUACUGCACUUAAAUCACUUAAAUCACCCACAAAUAUAUAAAAGUAGCUCUGGAAAUUACAAGUACAUUACAAAUUAUAAAGUUAUAAAACAGAGUAUUUAAGAUUUUAUCUUCAUUUUAUUUGACCUUUGAAAAAUAUAAAGGUGUAUUCUUAUGACAAUUGUAAAUCCAUUUUUAUCAUACUUAUUUUGCAUUACUACUAAAUUAUUAAUUGAAA
rnacentral:misc_RNA from 1 species